UACGGAGGGUGCGAGCGUUGUCCGGAAUCACUGGGCGUAAAGGGUGCGUAGGUGGCAGGGUAAGUUUGAUGUGAAAUCUCCGGGCUUAACCCGGAAACUGCAUUGAAUACUAUCCUGCUCGAGGUUUGGAGGGGGGACUGGAAUUCUCGGUGUAGCAGUGAAAUGCGUAGAUAUCGAGAGGAACACCAGUGGCGAAGGCGAGUCCCUGGACAACACCUGACACUGAGGCACGAAAGCUAGGGGAGCAAACAGG
rnacentral:rRNA from 1 species